UGUCAUGAUGAUACUGAGAUUAGGAAGUGCCGUCAGAAGCGAUAACUGACGACUUUAAUGUGUCUCUGACA